rnacentral:rRNA from 1 species
UGGGGAAUAUUGGACAAUGGGCGAAAGCCUGAUCCAGCAACGCCGCGUGGAGGAUGAAGGCCCUCGGGUUGUAAACUCCUGUCAGGUGGGACGAAAAGACGACGGCAAAUAACCGGCGUCCUUGACGGUACCACCGGAGGAAGCCCCGGCUAACUCCGUGCCAGCAGCCGCGGUAAUACGGAGGGGGCAAGCGUUAUUCGGAAUCAUUGGGCGUAAAGGGCGCGUAGGCGGCUUGGCAAGUCAGGGGUGAAAUCCCUCGGCUCAACCGAGGAACUGCCUCUGAAACUGUCUGGCUUGAGGCCGGGAGAGGGUAGUGGAAUUCCCAGUGUAGCGGUGAAAUGCGUAGAUAUUGGGAGGAACACCGGUGGCGAAGGCGGCUACCUGGACCGGUUCUGACGCUGAGGCGCGAAAGUGUGGGGAGCAAACAGGAUUAGAUACCCCCGUAGUCC